rnacentral:rRNA from 1 species
AACUCAACAGCUAGCCCCC